rnacentral:sRNA from 1 species
UGCAAUGGUGGCACUUCGGCGUCGGCUCU